GUGAUUUAUGUGAUACUAGUGUGUAACUUUAUGAUAUAAUUGUUGAUUGACAGGGUUGUUGAAUAUCAAGUCAAAUCUGCAGCACAUCAUCUGAUUAAGGAACCCUUGUCUAUUGAUCACGUCGAGCAAGCGAUGGAUUUAAGAUAGGUGGUGUGCUGGGUUUGAUUCUUGCAACUGCAAUUUUCCUAUCCGCCAAUGCUCUUCUUGCUAAGCUCCAUGAAUUUGGUUGAACAAGGCAUAUUAGAUACAGAGAUUUAGCUGGCUUUAUCUAUGGUAGAAAAGCAUAUUCUCUCACAUGAGCCCUGCAUUAUAUCAACCUUUUCAUGAUAAAUGCUGGCUAUAUCAUCUUGGCUGGUUCUGCCUUAAAGGUACUACAAUUAUAGUUGUUUUGUUUUGCUUCUCUCAUUUACC